AAGUAGUAGGGUGAUGUCAACAGUGAUUAACUUGACCCUACAAGGCUGACAACCAGCGAGAUUAAAGGUCCACACCAUAGAAGGAAGUGAGACAGCUCGUUUCCUACUGUAUGCUGCCUACUACACUUAGAAAUACCAUUUUGGUGUACAUCCUAAUGGUCAUGUUACGAGCUCUGCUACAUGUUCCCACGAACACAGUGCCACUCUACGUAUCUCCCCACUACUGAUGAAUGGGCUGAGACAUGCUGAAACCAGGAACGACAGUCCUUUUAUGAGAUGAAUAAGACUUCAGAGAAUUAUGAAGUUGAAACCACAACGUGGAAGACACCUGGGGUUGACAAACGAGUCAUUGGAGACGCGCUUCCUAGGAGAGCUGUGUGACCAGGAACACCUAGAGUAGUGUAUUUGCUUUGUUAAAGAGUGACUUGUAUGAGAGAGAAAUCUAUUUUCCAUAAAAAUAAAAAAAGAAUGAC